rnacentral:tRNA from 1 species
GAGGGUAAAGCUCAGUGGUAGAGUGUAUGCUUAGCAUGCACAGGGUCCUAGGUUCAAUUCCCAAUACCUCCA